AGAGGGUUUUACUUGGUUUGGUUUUGAUUGAGUUGCCUAUCUUUGUAGGCUUAAAUAGACCAGCAUUCUAUCUAGUAACGGAAGGUCAAGGUGGGCCAAGUCACAAUCGAAACUCCUGUACGCUGCGUCUGUAUGCUUUAAAUAACUGCUCGAUCUUUUGAGAUUAACAGUUAGCACCAACGAUCCGACACAAAUAACUAAACAAACAGAACCAAACCAAAUCUAGUUUUGC
rnacentral:lncRNA from 1 species